GUGCCAGCAGCCGCGGUAAUACAGAGGUGGCAAGCGUUGUUCGGAAUUACUGGGCGUAAAGGGCGCGUAGGCGGCCUUGUAAGUCUCGUGUGAAAGCCCUCGGCUUAACUGAGGAUCUGCACGGGAUACUGCGAGGCUUGAGUUCGGGAGAGGAAAGCGGAAUUCCGGGUGUAGCGGUGAAAUGCGUAGAUAUCCGGAGGAACACCAGUGGCGAAGGCGGCUUUCUGGACCGACACUGACGCUGAGUGCGCGAAAGCUAGGGGAGCAAACGGGAUUAGAAACCCCGGUAGUCC
rnacentral:rRNA from 1 species